rnacentral:rRNA from 1 species
GAUGAACGCUGGCGGCGUGCCUAAUACAUGCAAGUCGAGCGAAUGGAUUAAGAGCUUGCUCUUAUGAAGUUAGCGGCGGACGGGUGAGUAACACGUGGGUAACCUGCCCAUAAGACUGGGAUAACUCCGGGAAACCGGGGCUAAUACCGGAUAACAUUUUGAACCGCAUGGUUCGAAAUUGAAAGGCGGCUUCGGCUGGCACUUAUGGAUUGACCCGCUUCGCAUUAGCUCGUUGGGGAGGUAACGGCUCACCAAGGCAACGAUGCGUAGCCGACCUGAGAGGGUGAUCGGCCACACUGGGACUGAGACACGGCCCAGACUCCUACGGGAGGCAGCAGUAGGGAAUCUUCCGCAAUGGACGAAAGUCUGACGGAGCAACGCCGCGUGAGUGAUGAAGGCUUUCGGGUCGUAAAACUCUGUUGUUAGGGAAGAACAAGUGCUAGUUGAAUAAGCUGACACCUUGACGGUACCUAACCAGAAAGCCACGGCUAACUACGUGCCAGCAGCCGCCGUAA